rnacentral:rRNA from 1 species
ACGGGUGAGUAACACGUGAGUAACCUGCCCUUAACUCUGGGAUAAGCCUGGGAAACUGGGUCUAAUACCGGAUAUGACUCCUCAUCGCAUGGUGGGGGGUGGAAAGCUUUUUGUGGUUUUGGAUGGACUCGCGGCCUAUCAGCUUGUUGGUGAGGUAAUGGCUUACCAAGGCGACGACGGGUAGCCGGCCUGAGAGGGUGACCGGCCACACUGGGACUGAGACACGGCCCAGACUCCUACGGGAGGCAGCAGUGGGGAAUAUUGCACAAUGGGCGCAAGCCUGAUGCAGCGACGCCGCGUGAGGGAUGACGGCCUUCGGGUUGUAAACCUCUUUCAGUAGGGAAGAAGCGAAAGUGACGGUACCUGCAGAAGAAGCGCCGGCUAACUACGUGCCAGCAGCCGCGGUAAUACGUAGGGCGCAAGCGUUAUCCGGAAUUAUUGGGCGUAAAGAGCUCGUAGGCGGUUUGUCGCAUCUGCCGUGAAAGUCCGGGGCUCAACUCCGGAUCUGCGGUGGGUACGGGCAGACUAGAGUGAUGUAGGGGAGACUGGAAUUCCUGGUGUAGCGGUGAAAUGCGCAGA